CAGCCCGCGGUAAUACGUAGGGUGCAAGCGUUAAUCGGAAUUACUGGGCGUAAAGCGUGCGCAGGCGGUUAUAUAAGACAGAUGUGAAAUCCCCGGGCUCAACCUGGGAACUGCAUUUGUGACUGUAUAGCUAGAGUACGGCAGAGGGGGAUGGAAUUCCGCGUGUAGCAGUGAAAUGCGUAGAUAUGCGGAGGAACACCGAUGGCGAAGGCAAUCCCCUGGGCCUGUACUGACGCUCAUGCACGAAAGCGUGGGGAGCAAACAGGAUUAGAUACCCGCGUAGUCCCUGUCUCUUAUACAC
rnacentral:rRNA from 1 species